AAAGCCGAAGGCAAUUAUCUCCGUAAUUGCGUCAACGCUUGCUCCAUUUGUGCCUCGUCAGUGUGAUGGGAUUUUUUUUUUUUUUUUAACAAUGGCGUCACGGUGGAUGGUAGGAGAAAAAGUGCUUCUUUGUUCACCUGAGGCGUGGGUGUUUUUUUUUCCCAAUACAUCAACAGGGAAGUGUGUCUUGAAAUCAUUUUACUUUUAAGCUUAAAGCAUCGUCAUGUGAGACAUCAUGAAAUGUGGUGAGACUUGGGCUUCAGUCAGCACCGACCUUACGGAUGGGCAUGGCGUCUCCCUGCGAGCUGACCAUCUCCACCUCAAUGCGCUCCAUCAACCCCUCCAGCUGGUCUCGCACGUCCCGCGCUCGCCUCAUGGACCGGAACUGGAUGAAGUUCUCGUAGCACCACUGCGUCGAGUAGCCGCUCUCCACCCACUAAGGCGGACAGGGCCAAGAGUGUCAAACAUUUUCACAAAAAAAAUGCCCAUUAAAAAAGUCCAAAUAUU